CUAGCCUACGGGGGGGCAGCAGUAGGGAAUCUUCGGCAAUGGACGAAAGUCUGACCGAGCAACGCCGCGUGAGUGAAGAAGGUUUUCGGAUCGUAAAACUCUGUUGGUAGAGAAGAACGUUGGUGAGAGUGGAAAGCUCAUCAAGUGACGGUAACUACCCAGAAAGGGACGGCUAACUACGUGCCAGCAGCCGCGGUAAUACGAAGGUCCCGAGCGUUGUCCGGAUUUAUUGGGCGUAAAGCGAGCGCAGGGGGGUGAUUAAGUCUGGGGUAAAAGGCAGUGGCUCAACC
rnacentral:rRNA from 1 species